AUGCAAUCUGACAAGAAUGAUGGGCUGGAUCCCAACUGGCUCUUCCACAAGCCCUCUGCCACCCUGAGAAAGAAAGUCUUUUUUUUUUUGGCCUCUUUUGUAAGGGUUUUGGGCACUUCUGAGAAAUUCCUCAGAAUGCAGAGCUGCCAUUCUUAUUUGGGGACUGUGAGAUUUGAGAAACCACACACCAUUCUGCACAGCUUUGCGGCUUUUCUGCCUGCUUCAUAGAAAGCCUCUUUAAAGACUUUAACAACAUGGCUUUUUCCUUUGGAGCUUCCGGUUAUUGCUGCCCAUUAAAUGAGAAAACUGAGAGAGGUAUUCUUGUUGCUUUGUGUUUAAAGGACUUUCUUUGAUUAUUCUAAAGGCUGAGAAAUUCCUCAGAAUGCUGAGCUGCCAUUCUUACCUUUCCAUGAACAGGGGGACUGUGAGAUUUGAGAAACCACACGCCAUUCUGCACAGCUUUGCGGCUUUUCUGCGGCCUCUUUUGUAAGGGUUUUGGGCACUUCUGAGAAAUUCCUCAGAAUGCAGAGCUGCCAUUCUUAUUUGGGGACUGUGAGAUUUGAGAAACCACACACCAUUCUGCACAGCUUUGCGGCUUUUCUGCCUGCUUCAUAGAAAGCCUCUUUAAAGACUUUAACAACAUGGCUUUUUCCUUUGGAGCUUCCGGUUAUUGCUGCCCAUUAAAUGAGAAAACUGAGAGAGGUAUUCUUGUUGCUUUGUGUUUAAAGGACUUUCUUUGAUUAUUCUAAAUUUGCUGUUGCUAAUUAUCUCUGGUGCUUUUAAAAUGUUAGUUUGAAGAAAGGUGGAUGAUAGGCUCUAGGCAUUAGGAGUCCAAAGAAUUCCCAUUGUUUACUGAAUUUAUUCUGACCACCAGCACCUUCAACUUCCAUGGAUGUCCAGCCAAGCCCUGUAUUUAGCCUAAUAUCAAAAAUGCCAUCAGAUAAAUUAGGAAGAGGAAAGGAGGUGGGGUGGGGACCAGUUAAUCAAGAUCUUCUCGCUCAGCAAUGUUCAUGACUGGGAGCACUGGAAGAUGAAAACUUUCCUGCUGCUAGAUCCACCCUACCCCACAGCCUCUCUUGCUUUGAACUGAAGGUAGGAAAGGGACUCCAGGAGUCCUGGGGGGGGCUCAUAAUGCUGAAAACCAACUGUGUACUUUCAUUCACUUUCAAAGCACUCUAUGACCUGCACAUACAGUGGUCUGAAGUCUGCAAAAAGUUGGAGGUUACAG
rnacentral:lncRNA from 1 species